rnacentral:rRNA from 1 species
AACGAACGCUGGCGGCAGGCCUAACACAUGCAAGUCGAGCGGACCCUUCGGGUUUGGCGUCGUCCGGGUGAGUAACGCGUGGUAAUAUGCCCUUCUCUACGGAAUAGUCCUGGGAAACUGGGGGGAAUAUCGUAUUCGUCCUGGGUGGGAAAGAUUUAUCGGGGAAGGAGGAGCCCGCGUUUGAGUGGGUUGUUGUGGGGGUAAUGGACUACCGCGACGACGAUCCAUAGCUGGUUGGAGAGGAUGAUCAGCCACACUGGGACUGAGACCCGACCCAGACUGCUACGGGAGGCAGCAGAGGGGAAUCAUAGACAAGGAGGGCGACCCUGAUCGAGCCAUGCCGCGAGAGUGAUGAAGGCCUUAGGGUCGUAAAGCUCUAUGAGCUGGGCAGAUAAUGACGGUACCAGCAGAAGAAGCCCCGGCUAACUACGUG